rnacentral:lncRNA from 1 species
AUUUCAUUAAAGGCAUGAAGAUAAAGCAUAAACAAAACAGAAUCUACUUUAUAACAUAUCAGUUCAUUUUGCUGCAAUAUUUGCAGAAAGAACAUAUGGAAAUGCCCUUCCACACUGCUUGAAACCUAAUUUUGGACAACACCAGAGUGAGACAAAAUGAGAGCUGUUGCCAGUUCUGGAGUUGGUUUCAGAGCGAUUGACCACCAAAGUCUUUGUUUAAUUUCAGCAGACUUGUGUUCAGCAGCUCUGAAAAUUGGGCCUGAAAUGAUAGAGACGAUUUUGGACCAGGGUCACAUCCCUUUCAGUUCCACCCACCAGUUCCAUUUCCCACACAAACGCCAGGAGGGGAAGGAAGGAUUGAUUUGGAAGCUUCUAAUUGACUUCAGCAGAACCCGGCCUGGAGCCACUGUAAUGUUCCUGAACAGCAGUUCUGGAGCAUGAACAGUGCCCAGUUUGGGUGGGGUGGCCGGGCCAUGACAAGCCCCAGGGCUGUGGGACGGGGUGGAGGUGCAGUGCCAGGGCCAGAGGGCAGUUGGGCCAGGCCCAGGGCUCUGCAACCGCCCUUGGAUGUGGCAUCUGAACCUGGCAACUGCCAAAACGGCUGAUGGAGACCCGGCAGGUGAGUGGGAAAGGUGCAGCUCUCCCUGUGCCAUGCCCAGAGGGGGUCUGGGUGGCAUUGGGCUGUCCCACGGGGAGCGGUUCCCUUUGGGAACAACAAGGUAUUCCCAGUUUGCUGUUCCUGAGCUGGUGGCAGCUUUGGUGCUGGGAGUGGGGACAGAGCUGGGAGGGAAUGGAGGGCACCUUCAUGCUGGUGGUGGGCAGCUCUUCAUUUCAUCACAAUGCUGGCUGGAGCGAGUGUUGGUGGGAUCACCAACUCUGGCAAUGGAAUCCCCAGAAUGCUGUUUGCCCCAAACAGUCGCCUUGGUGACAGAACCCCCAGAAUGCUGCCUACCCCAAACAAACCCCAAACUGGCCAAGCACCAUGGCAGGUACAGCAGCAGGCCCCCAUUCCUCCAGGGAGUCCUGCCCUCCAGUUAUCCCCAACUAGCUACGCCCCCCAAUAUCUCACCUCAUCACCCCUUUCUGCUUCCCCCAACAGAGAGGUUCCCUCUCCAGGUGACAGUGUUGAAGGUGGCCAGCGUGAGCUUCGCUGCCCUCGCCAGGCCAGCCCUGGGAGCUCCCUGGGAGCUGCCCUCUGUCCCAGGGCUGCCACUGUACUCUGGCCCUGUCCAGCUCCAAACCAGCACCCACCAGUUGGUCCCAGCCACCGUCAGGCAGGAGGUCCCAGGGCCUCUGGGGGCCCCGGGGCAGGUGUUAUCACUUUCCCCUGUGGUGCAGCUUCCCUGGCCAGUGCAGCUGCCUCCCUGUCCUUCUGCCUAUGGCUGGGGACAGCAGCUGGUGACGGGGGCACUUCUGCCCCACCAGCCAAGGGCUGUGUUCCAUGGAGAGCCCCUGUACCCCACGGGCUCUGGUGUGUUGUGUGUCCACCACCGACCUGCCCUGGCAGGCAGAACCACGAUGGAGCCCGAAGUGGUUACCACCCCUGGUCCAAGGAAGCCCACGGAUCUGCCUGAGGAGGGACCAGCCACCAGCACAGAGGCCAUUCCUGAGCAGGCAGAGGACAUCACCCACCACCACCUGCUCACCCAGCCUGAAACCCCAGUGGGUGAGGACACCAUUGUCAAUGCCCCCAACAGCCCCACCUUGAGUGACCUCCUGGACGACCUCUUUGAGUACCUGGCGGACAGUGGCUGCCCUGAGGAACAAGUGGAGGUGGCUCAAGAGGACAGCGAGGACACCGCCUUGGCCGCCAACGCCCCCAGCCUGACCGCCGAGGACCUCGAUGAGCUCCUCGAGUUCUGUGAAUGCCUGCUGGAAGAUGACUGUCCCAAGAAGCCAGCAAUGGAGGCACAGCAAAGGAACAGCGAGGAUGCCGUACCCACCACCCCCAACUUGACCCCCUCCCUCAGCCCACCCAGUGACCCCCGGCCUCCCUUGCCCCGCGUGGCCCAGCUGGGGGAGGAGGCAAUGCAGAAGCAGCCCCAGGUUGUUAAGAACCACUUGCAGCUGCCACCAGGCAUCGCCACCAUCCAGGCAGACCCCAAAACGAGAGAGGUGGCAGCAGCCAGGCCCCGUGCUCGGCGCCAGCCAGCCCCUCCACGGAACAAGGGACCUCCCCGCAGGGCCACAUCCCGGCCCAGGAAGAGGCGACGACAGCGGUGACGCAGCACCCAGACCAGAAGACACCCUGAGCCAGUGACCUGCAGCCAGGCCCUCAGCCCCAACCUCUCCCCCAUUCUUCUUUAGUUCAUUAAAGAGUGGUUUUGCAGUUCCCUUCUCUGUCUUGGGUUGUUUGGGCAGUGGGA